rnacentral:lncRNA from 1 species
CACGUUAAUUAAUUAAACCCCACAAUGUAAGCGAUUUUUCAAAAUUAAAAAGGAAUAAGAAGAAUCAAAAAAUUUAAGAUGAUCAAUAAAUUCAAAAACUCAUACAAUCAUACAAAAUAUUUAAUUAUACAUAAAAUCACUGUUUUCUUUUUAAAACUUUAUAUUCAAUCAAACUACGACGAACAAAAUCCAUCAUAGUAAACCCUAACAUAGAGAGUUCAAAACCAAAUUUGUUGCAUAGAAUUAAACACUACAAAAAAAAUAUAUCAAAAGCCUCUUUAGAUUUCUAUGUUUUCAAGAACCAAGCUUGCAAAUUAAACCAAAAUAUACACCUAGUGACAUAAAAAUAAAAUCAAAACUUCUCAAAUUAAAAAACAUAAAAAAAAAAUAUUUCAAUUCUUCAUGUUCUUCAUCUUGUACCAACCCUUCUUGCAAGAAUCUCCCACAAUCUUUACUCCCUUCAUCAAAAUGAUCUUCAAUUCUUGUGUUCUCUCCUUCACUUGCUUCUCAAAACUUCCCAUAUUUAACUUUCCCUAUAAAAAAUAUUUUAACAUUUUAAUUAACAUUUCAAAUGAGAAAAAUAAUUAAAUAUGAGAGAGUUUUUUCUUUUUUUCAUCAAGAUAACUUUUUUUAAAAAAAAAAAAGUGAAUCACAAUUAGAUAAAAAUUCAAGACAAAACUAUAAUAGUUAUAAACUUUGCAAUAACUAUAAAUUCUUACCGAUAUCUUAGCAACUUUUAUGCAAUAUAACAAUUUUAUUGGCUUACGAUACGAGUAAUUUAAAAUAGAAAUCAAGAACUUAUAUAAGUACAAAUAUUUCUUAAAUGUGAAGAGAAUAUUCAGUUAAAAAGCAAAAGUUUUAAAAGGAGAAGGGCUUCGUGGGAUCCAACUCAUAAG